rnacentral:lncRNA from 1 species
UGGGGUGAUUGGGUAGUAGGGCCAUUAUAAAGUAAUAAUUUCCAAAUAAAAGUAAUUUUAAGAAAAAUGUGCGGGAGUUUACAAUUCCAUUGAUUACAAUUAGGGUUUCGAUUAAAAAUGAGAGAUUUAAGAAAACUGGUUAAUCACAAGUAAACUAGGGUUUUUUAUUAGAAUUUAGGGUUUCUAGAAUUUAAAACAAAACAAUGUCUUAAUAUAAAAAUAAACAAAAGCAAUC